GACGAACGCCGGCGGCGUGCUUAACACAUGCAAGUCGAACGGAAAGGCCCUGCUUUUGUGGGGUGCUCGAGUGGCGAACGGGUGAGUAACACGUGAGUAACCUGCCCUUGACUUUGGGAUAACUUCAGGAAACUGGGGCUAAUACCGGAUAGGAGCUCCUGCUGCAUGGUGGGGGUUGGAAAGUUUCGGCGGUUGGGGAUGGACUCGCGGCUUAUCAGCUUGUUGGUGGGGUAGUGGCUUACCAAGGCUUUGACGGGUAGCCGGCCUGAGAGGGUGACCGGCGACAUUGGGACUGAGAGACGGCCCAGACUCCUACGGGAGGCAGCAGUGGGGAAUAUUGCACAAUGGGCGGAAGCCUGAUGCAGCAACGCCGCGUGCGGGAUGACGGCCUUCGGGUUGUAAACCGCUUUCGCCUGUGACGAAGCGUGAGUGACGGUAAUGGGUAAAGAAGCACCGGCUAACUACGUG
rnacentral:rRNA from 1 species